UACGGGGGGAGCAAGCGUUGUUCGGAUUUACUGGGCGUAAAGGGCGCGUAGGCGGCGUGACAAGUCACUUGUGAAAUCUCCGGGCUUAACUCGGAACGGUCAAGUGAUACUGUCGUGCUAGAGUACAGAAGGGGCAACUGGAAUUCUCGGUGUAGCGGUGAAAUGCGCAGAUAUCAGGAGGAACACCGGUGGCGAAGGCGGGUCUCUGGGCAACUACUGACGCUGAGGAGCGAAAGCGUGGGGAGCGAACAGG
rnacentral:rRNA from 1 species